ACGGAAGGUGGCUUGGAUUAUAUCAGGAGUUAGUGUGGAAGUAUGGCAUCUCCCU
rnacentral:tRNA from 1 species